rnacentral:rRNA from 1 species
AUGCGCGUCACGGUGGCCAACGGCGAGCGCGUUCCGUGCCAGGGCGCGUACCGCGUCGUGCCCUUCCGCAUCGGCCACGAGGAGUUCGCGGAGGAUUUCCUCGCCUUGCCGCUCGCGGGCUACGACAUCGUCCUGGGCACGCAGUGGUUGGCGUCGCUCGGACCGAUCCUGUGGGAUUUCCGAGCCCUCUCCAUGACAUUCUGGCGGCGGGGCCAUCGGGUGUGCUGGCACGGCAUUGCAGGACCGGACGGGCCAGCCCUAAAAUCAUGCAGCGGCCGCGACUUCCUGGACGCCAUCAUCACCGAGUUCGACGGCAUCUUCGCCGACCCCUCCGGCGUGCCACCGCCCCGCAGCCGCGAUCACGGCAUCACCCUGCUACCUGGUUCCGCCCCGGUGGCCGUCCGUCCGUAUCGAUACCCGGCCGCGCACAAGGACGAGCUGGAGCGUCAGUGCGCCGCCAUGCUCGCCCAAGGUAUCAUCUGUGCGAGUUGUUCCGCAUUCUCGUCCCCGGUACUGCUGGUCCGCAAGGCCGACGGGUCCUGGCGCUUCUGCAUCGAUUAUCGCGCCCUGAACGCCAUUACUGUCAAGAAUGCGUUCCCGAUUCCGGUGGUGGACGAACUCCUCGACGAGCUACGGCACGCUCGUUUCUUCACCAAGCUCGAUUUACGUUCCGGCUACCACCAGGUGCGGAUGCGUGCGGAGGACAUCCCGAAGACAGCUUUCCGUACUCAUGACGGCCUCUACGAGUUUCUGGUGAUGCCGUUCGGACUCUGCAACGCGCCGGCCACGUUCCAGGCCCUCAUGAAUGAUCUGCUGCGGCCAUACCUGCGCCGUUUUGUUCUCGUCUUCUUUGACGACAUCCUCAUUUUCAGCGAGACAUGGGCUGACCAUCUCCGACAUGUGCGCACCGUCUUCACGGUCCUGCACCAGCACCGGCUCUUCGUCAAGCGCUCCAAAUGCGUGUUCGCCGUUGAAUCAAUCGCAUACCUGGGUCACACCAUCUCCGCUGCAGGCGUGGCCAUGGAUCCGGAAAAGGUGCAGGCAGUGGCGGACUGGCCGCAACCACGCUCGGCGCGCGCGGUUUGGGGCUUUCUCGGCCUUGCGGUGUACUACCGCAAGUUUGUCAAGGACUUUGGCGUGGUUGCCGCGCCCCUGACGGCCCUCCUUCGCAAGGAUGGUUUCUCUUGGUCGCCGGAGGCGGCAGCAGCUUUUAACACCCUCAAGACGGCAAUCACCACGGCUCCCGUCCUCGCGUUACCGGAUUUUACACGGCCGUUCAUCGUCGAGUGUGACGCAUCGACGUACGGUUUCGGGGCCGUCCUUCUUCAGGACCACCACCCGGUGGCUUUCUUUAGCCGGCCAGCCGCGCCACGUCACCGUUCCCUGGCAGCGUAUGAACGGGAACUCAUCGGCCUGGUGCUCGCGAUUCGCCAUUGGAGGCCGUACCUAUGGGGGCGUCAGUUUGUGGUAAAAACGGAUCAUUACAGCCUCAAAUUUCUGCUUGACCAGCGUUUGGCCACCAUCCCGCAGCAUCAUUGGGUUGGCAAACUCCUGGGAUUCGACUUUACGGUGGAGUACAAGGCAGGUAGUACCAACACGGUGGCGGAUGCACUUUCCCGCCGUGACACAGAGGAGACGACGAUCAUGGCGGUCUCAGGGCCUCGUUUCGACUUCAUCAAUCGCCUCCGGCAAGCGACGUCCACUGAUCCGGCGCUCGUCACACUGCGGGAGGAUAUCACGGCAGGUGCGCGGCAACAGCCUUGGGCGCUCUCCGACGGCCUCGUUACUUUCAACGGCCGCCUCUACAUUCCGCCGUCAUCCCCGCUACUCCAGGAGAUUCUCAGUGCCGUGCACGAUGAUGGGCAUGAAGGCGUCCUGCGCACAUUGCAUCGUCUCCGCCGCGAUUUCCACGCACCUAACCUUCGCAAGACGGUGCAGGAGUACGUCCGCACUUGCGGUACUUGCCAGCGGUACAAGUCCGAGCACUUGCACCCCGCUGGGCUGCUACUGCCGCUGCCGGUACCCACGGGCGUGUGGACUGACAUCGGCAUCGACUUCGUGGAAGCGCUUCCUCGAGUAGGCGGGAAGUCUGUCAUCCUCACCGUGGUGGAUCGCUUCAGCAAGUAUUGCCAUUUUGUGGCGUUAGCCCACCCAUACACGGCAGAGUCAGUGGCACAGGUGUUCUUCGCUGAGGUUGUUCGUCUCCAUGGCGUGCCGCAGUCCAUGGUCUCUGACCGCGACCCCGUCUUCACCUCCGCUUUUUGGCGAGAGCUCAUGCGCCUCAUGGGGACAAAGCUGCACAUGACGUCAGCAUUUCACCCGCAGUCGGACGGUCAAACGGAGGCUGCUAACAAGAUCAUUGUGAUGUAUUUACGGUGUCUUACCGGGGAUCGUCCCAAGCAGUGGCUCCGGUGGCUUCCCUGGGCUGAGUACAUAUACAACACCGCCUACCAGACAGCAACCCAAGAGACUCCGUUCAAGCUUGUGUAUGGCCGUGACCCUCCCACUAUUCGCUCUUACGAGCCCGGCGACACACGGGUGGCUGCAGUGGCCAGGAGCAUGGCUGAGCGCGACGAACUUAUCGAGGACGUCCGCUAUCGUCUACAACAGGCACAGGCGGUCUAUAAGUCCUACUACGACAGACGUCAUCGGGACAUUCGGCAUGAGGUGGGCGAUUGGGUUUGGCUUCGCCUUCGACAGCGCGCCGCGUCCUCUCUCAACUUGCCAACCAGGGGCAAGCUCAAGCCACGAUUCUAUGGGCCGUACCGCAUUUCAGAAGUGAUCAACGACGUGGCAUACCGUCUUGAGCUUCCGGCACGCUCGCGCCUCCAUGACGUGUUCCACGUGGGCCUCCUCAAGAAGUUCUUCGGCAUUCCUCCAACUACACCGCCGGGAUUGCCUUCGAUCCACAACGGGGCGGCUGUUCCAGAACCAGAGCGCGUGACUCGUGCGUGCCUAGCACGCGGCGUUCGCCAGCUACUCGUCCACUGGAAGGGUGAAGCAGCUUCGUCAGCUACAUGGGAGGAUCUUGACAGUUUCGUCGAGCGCUACCCCGCUUUUCAGCUCGAGGACGAGCUGCUCGUCGAGGGGGGGAGAGAUGUCAUGUGGGGCACGUCUUACAGACGUGGGCCGCGCGGCCAGGAGCAGCCGACGGCCGCAUCAGGCAAGGCGCAGGCUGGACAGGAGGCCUGA